GAAACUCCUUCUAAAGCGUCAAUUGGAAACAUUUAAAUACUUUUUUUUAAAAAAAAUUUCUGCUUACAAUAUUAUAGAAACUUUUAAAAAAAAGCCGUAUUAAUUAAUAAUCCGUAUAAUUGAUUUAAAAUAUAUUUCUUCAGACUUUAAUAAUUAAACUUUAUCGUUCCAACAAUGAUUUUUAUGGUUAUUGUUUAACAAUACUUCACCAAAAACAAUGGAAAUGAAUUAAGUAUUGCCACAGAUUUAUAUGACGAUUAAUUUGCAUUCUAUAAUAUCGAAUUUCGGAUAGCUGAAGAGUUUCCAUCGUAAAAUUUCGAAUGGCGUUUCAUUCCCAGAAUGUAUUUAACGUAGGACCCAGAAACCGAAAUCUGAAGACCCCUUCACGAAUGGAAAAAUUCUGCACUUGAGUUCCCGCGAGCAUGCCUCCGAGGUGUGAGACAUACAACAUUCUUAAGAAUUACAUUGUUUAAAUUAUUUUCGUGCGAGUUUUUAUCAUUAAUGGAGUUUACCAUGGACUUUUCAAGAGAACAUUUUACUAUUUUAUUGAAAAUGCUAGGCUUCUUAGCAUUUAAUUCGAACUCUUCGAUGAUUAAUAUAUUAAUAUUGAUUUCCUUUGCAUUUUUGAACGUAUCGACGUUGCCGAUGAUUAAAAUUAUGAACUUGUCCCAUGCAGAAUGGUUCGAAUUUAUCCAUUUUCUGCUGUUUAACAUAUUUCUUGUGUAUCUUCUUUUGAUUUGUGAAAUGAUGAAAUUGUUGAGAAUGAUUGUUACCGGUACCGGUUGUGGUAGGUGGUACCACCCUAGCAACGUGAUGUUGGCCGUCAUCCAAACAACGUUCUUUUAUAUUUCUUCCCCUUGGAUAUACAAAAUGCUGUGGGAAAUUUUAAACUACUACGACAAUUUUCAACUAGUGGACGACUUUUAUUGACAGACACUGCACGAAAAAUUUCACAAAAUUAUCAAUAAUAGACGAAUGAUAUCGUCUUUGGAAAUUCUAGCAAUCAUUCUACAAAAAGUAAACUUCGUUGCGACUAUAGGAAAAGACAAAUGAACAAAUCCCUGUCUAGUACACACGAAUCGAAUAUUAUCACUGACGUUCUUUCUUUCUUCAACGACCUCCGUGUCUCUGUUGCAAUACGAAAACCACAUUGAAGGCUGAUCUUCGCUUCUAGGACACUCGAUCGUACAAAUAUUCUGUGGA